rnacentral:rRNA from 1 species
AGGGUUUGAUCCUGGCUCAGAUCGAACGCUGGCGGCGUGGCUAAGGCAUGCAAGUUGAGCGCGAAAGUUAUCUUCGGACAACGAGUAGAGCGGCGGAAGGGCGAGUAACGCAUGGGCAACGUACCCUAGGCACAGGGAUAGCUGCGGGAAACUGCAGGUAAUACCUGAUGAGACCACAGUGUCGUAUGGCACAGCGGUCAAAGGGCGGGGAUCCUUCGGGACCUGCCGGCCUGGGAGCGGCCCAUGUCCUAUCAGCUUGUUGGUGAGGUAACGGCUCACCAAGGCUACGACGGGUACCGGGGCUGAGAGGUCGGCCCGGCGCACUGGGACUGAGACACUGCCCAGACUCCUACGGGAGGCUGCAGCAACGAAUAUUCCGCAAUGGACGCAAGUCUGACGGAGCGACGCCGCGUGUGGGAAGACGGCCCUCGGGUUGUAAACCACUGUCAGGGGUUACCAAGCAAAGAGAGUUAAUAGCUCUCGGCGUUGAGGAGCCCCAGAGGAAGCCACGGCUAACUUCGUGCCAGCAGCCGCGGUAAUACGAAGGUGGCGAGCGUUGUUCGGAAUCACUGGGCUUAAAGAGCACGUAGGCGGCCUGUCAAGCGUCUUGUGAAAUCCCUCGGCUCAACCGAGGAAUUGCUGGGCGAACUGGCAGGCUUGAGGCAGGUAGGGGCGCGUGGAACUCUUGGUGGAGCGGUGGAAUGCGUAGAUAUCAAGAGGAACGCCGGAGGUGAAAACGGCGCGCUGGGCCUGUUCUGACGCUGAGGUGCGAAAGCCAGGGGAGCGAACGGGAUUAGAUACCCCGGUAGUCCUGGCCCUAAACGAUGUCCACUCGGCCGGAGUAAUUCUGACAUUUUUCCGGUUCAAGCGAAAGCGUUAAGUGGACCGCCUGGGGAGUACGGUCGCAAGGCUAAAACUCAAAGGAAUUGACGGGGGCUCACACAAGCGGUGGAGCAUGUUGCUUAAUUCGAUCAACGCGAAGAACCUUAUCCUGGGUUUGACAUGUGCGGAUGCCUACUGGGAAACCAGGUCGGCUGACCUUCGGGUUGAAACGUACACAGGUGCUGCAUGGCCGUCGUCAGCUCGUGUCGUGAGAUGUUGGGUUAAGUCCCGUAACGAGCGAAACCCCUGUCGCUAGUUGCCAGCAGGCCUUCGGGCGCUGGGGACUCUAGCGAGACUGCCGGUAUUAAACCGGAGGAAGGUGGGGAUGACGUCAAGUCCUCAUGGCCUUUAUGCCCAGGGCUGCAAACGUGCUACAAUGGCCGGUACAAACCGACGCGAACCCGCGAGGGAGAGCAAAUCGGAAAAAACCUGCCCCAGUUCGGAUUGGAGUCUGCAACUCGACUCCAUGAAGUUGGAAUCGCUAGUAAUCGCGUAUCAGCGUGACGCGGUGAAUAUGUUCCUGAGCCUUGUACACACCGCCCGUCAAGUCAUGGAAGCCGGGAGCGCGCGAAGUCGGGGCGUUUCAGCCCUGCCGAACGUGAGCUCGGUAACUAGGACUAAGUCGGAACAAGGUA